CACACAUUUGCUUUUUAUAGUCGUGAUGAUUCGGACGGUUGAUUUUUUAAUGAUUUUUAUUAAACUUAUAUCAAUUUAAACAUUAUAGGUGUUGCAACGGUUAUAAAAAGGUUAAUUUGGUUGAUUUAUAUUCAGAUAUUAUGCUUGUGAGAAGAGAAGGAAGCCAUAAUACCAAAUUUUUUGAGAUAUUUCUUGUAGUUCUCCUUUAUUUUUUUCCCCUCUAAAUAUUGAGAGGAUACUUUUGUCCUUAUACAAAUGUUUUGUAGAAGAUAUAAUCUUGUUUAUUAGCCAAUCAAACUUAAGUUAUAUUAAUAUUAUGGUGAGUAUUAUGAGCGUCCGUACCAUCCCACCUCCCUGGCCGAACCAUCACCACGGGUGGGGAUGGUUCGGACGAUUUAGAAACUUGUCUUUCAUCACCGACAUCUGAAAACUGGAAAUAGCUACGAGUGUCAUAUUAGCAGCCUAAAGAGCCAAAUGAUGGAGGAACAUUUUGGGAUCAACAAAAUUACACUACUACUUAAACUUCUUUUUCUAAAAAUAUUUUUCUUAAAAGUGGCCGAAUCAUACCGGCUCUCCCCUAAAAAGUAGCCCAAAAUUGAGGGGGCUUUUCUAAAAUUUUGCCAUUUUUACCUGUUAUGAUGUCAUUAUAUUGCCCUUUAUUGACCAAAAAUGCUUUUUUGAUGUUUAUUCCUUGCGUUGAGGUCAUAACAAACCUGCAGAAGUGAGUGAGUGUGGUGACUGGCGGUGAUCGUGUCUGUGUUCCUAUGUUGUUUUCCCGUUUUUGUGCUGUUCAAGCGUUGGAUCACGCGAGACUAUAAAUAUUGCGACUUGUGAAUGUUCAGUGAAUAGGUUGGGAAGUAAUAAGUGAAGAAAAUUGAAGCGAGGAGGAUAUAAAUCUGAGAUAUAUACGUAGGGCGAAGGCGGGAGUUUCGGAGGGAGACAAGAAUGGCGGCGGCGGGUGGUCAUCGUAAGCCAUUGCCCAAAGAUGGAGUGACCGAGGAUGAAAAUAAAUCCAUAUGUAAGAAGGCAGUAUUGGACGAUGAUAAGGCUCUUGGAUGUGAGGUCACAAUGGUUUGCGAAGGAAAAGAUAACUGGCUUCACCUGUAGCAAGUUGUGCAUUAUGCAAAGACUGGGACAUACUCAGAUGCAGUCACAGCAGAGGAGAAGAGUGGCAUCUGAAAAUUUGCUGCAAGUUUCCAUCUUGAAGGUGAAUGGCUGACGGACGAGCACAUGAAUUAUGCCCAAGCCCUUCUGAAGAACAACUUCCCUAAGAUUGAUGGUCUACAGCACACCAUGGAGCCUUUCAAGUUGCCAUCAAUAACUCAUUUCAAAGGAGUCUAAUGAGGGAAUUUGUGCAGAUAUUGCUCAUAAUAAACAACCAUUGGGUUUGUGCAAUAUCCCUUAGGUGUGGCCCAGGAGAGGUUAAAAUAUAUGAUAGUUUAACACCAUCUGUGCAAAGGGGAGGAUGCAGAAAUAUCGUAGUGGUGUAUGUCCCUCCAAAAACCAAUUCAUGGACAGAAGAAUUGUACAAGAAGAAUCUGGAAGAUACAUUGGAUUGCCUAAGGAGAUUGCUGGAGGAGAAGGAGAAGAUUCUGAUAAUGGGAGAAUUUAAUUGUAAGGAAGUGUCAUGGGAAAACUGGUCAACGGAAGGAAGUGAAGCUUCAUGGGGGAACAAGAAUAAUCACCAGGGAGCCAGAUAUCAUAGAGGAGAUGAACUGUAAGAGCCCUAUAGGGAAGAGCGAUCAUGUACUUAUCGAGUACAUAUUACGAGAAGGAGGUAAAAUAAUCAGGAAUGAGGACUACAGGAAAGAAUGGUUUAACUUUAACCCGCAAACUGCUGUACGCCUUCUGGGCGGCUGAGCGGUAAGCUGCUGUAAGCCUUCUGGAAGCGGGCUUUUCAAACAGGUGCCAAAAAGUUUCCGCCGCGGCUUCAGAUACUGCCAGAAAAACAUUUUUGUGAUAGAAAAAUCUAAGAAAUAUGCAGGAUACAACACAUUUCGAGCUACAGAUAUGUGUAUUGUAAUAUUUAUGACACGUUUAUGUAACUUAGAUAUCAUUUAUUGAAGGUCAAUCUCUCGCUGAUAUAGCCGCACUAGGCGACGCACUCAGAAUCUCAGUCCCGCAGCUUACGGGUUAAUAAGGCAAAUUUUGAACAACUUGGAAAACAUUUUGAGGAAGCACAAUGGGAUACUUUUUUCGAGGCUGAUAAUGCGGAGGAAAAAUGGGCUGAAAAGUUGAGCAACUUGAUUAAUGUCUCACUAGCACAAGGGAAGGUACCAAGAGACUGGAAGAGGGCUAACAUCGUCCCAAUAUAUAAAGGAGGAAGUAAGGAAGACCCGUUGAACUAUAGGCCAGUGUCAUUAACAAGUGUAGUAGCAAAGAUGUGUGAGAAAAUUAUAAAAAAACAGAUGGGUGGGGUAUUUAGAAGAAAACAGUAUAUUAACAAGUAGCCAAUUCGGAUUCAGAGGAGGACGGUCUUGUGUAACUAAUCUGAUCAGCUUCUAUUCAAGAGUAAUUGAUAUAAUACAGGAAAGGGACGGUUGGGCAGAUUGUGUGUAUCUGGACUUAAAGAACGCGUUUGAUAAAGUACCACACAAGCGAUUAAUAUGGAAACUUAAUCAUGUUGGAGGUCUGGGUAGUUCAAAAUUGGAUUGGAUUAUGGACUUUAACAAUAAAUCAAGCUGGAUGGAAGUGACUAGUGGAGUCCCCCAAGGAUCGGUGUUGGCUCUGAUUAUGUUUGUAAUAUAUAUUAAUGACAUGACAGAAGGGGUGACAAGCUAUAUGAAUAUGUUUGCUGAUGAUGCUAAAAUAAUGAGGAGGGUGGCUAAUGAAGAAGACUGUGUAGCCCUGAGCCAAGAUCUCGAUAGAAUAAGCGAAUGGUCACGCAAAUGGGAAAUGACAUUCAAUACAGAGAAGUGUAGCGUGAUGGAGUUUGGUAAGAGUAGUAGAUGAAUAUCGGGGAACUAUUCUCUAAGUAAUGAAAGAAUCAUGAAAAAAACUGAAGAAAAAGAUCUGGGAGUGAUCAUAACAGACAAGUUAUCCUUUGGAAAACAUAUAGACCGGAUAACUGGGGAAACAUACAAUCUUCUUAGAAACAUAAAAGCAGCAUUUACGUAUUUAGAUAAAGAAAUUGCGAAGAAACUAAUAACAUCGAUGAUACGUCCCAGACUGGAAUAUGCAGCAUUAGUGUGGUCACCUAGAUUGAAGAAAAAAAUUAGAAAGUUGAAAAGAAUACAAAGAGCAGCGACUAAAUUACCAGAAACUCUGAGAGAACAUACUUAUGAAGAAAGACUGGAGAAAUUGGGACUAACAACACCAGAGAGAAGAGAGAGAGGGGACCUAAUAGCAUUGUACAGGAUACAAGAGGGAUUGGAUAAAUUGAACAGGGAAGACCUAGUGGUACAUGACAGAAGUGUGACAAGAGGCAAUGGUAAGAAACUGAAGAAGAGCGACUGUAGGAGAGACAUCAAGAGAGCGACUGUAGGAGAGACAUCAAGAAAUACAGUUUUCCAUACAGAAGCAUAACAACUUGGAAUGGACUUGACGAGGAGACUGUGUGUGCAAAAACGAUUCAUGAAUUUAAAGCCAAACUGGAUAAUAAGCAUUAUGGAGACGGGACAGCACGAGCCUAGUAUGGCUCUUUUUCCUGUAUUUCACAGCUACAGUACCCUCUCGAGUUUCGUGCUAUCCAAGUUUCGCGGUUUGUCCCAAAUUCUUACCAUCCCGACUUUUGCGCAUUAUCACCCUGAGUUUCGCGCUGCUUUUACACGUACGGGUCACGUCUGCUUAUCAUCGGCGUCACGCACACUACCUUUAAAGGUAUCACACUGGACGUUUUCCUUCAAACAUUGUGGCUUUGGAGAGAGAGAGAGAGAGAGAGAGAACGGGUCGUUUUGAAGCCGCAGUUGGAGGUGGCUGCCUUACAAUUGGCUGACGGUUCUGAAAACAUGUUUGUGAUUCGCUGGGAGUCUGAUGACGUCAUUGCUGAUGCUCAUCCUAUUAGCGGCUUCACUGCCUUAAGGGGGUGUCACAAUGACCG